GUUAAGUGUCGCUUAUGUAUUAUGUGUUUCUUUUGUACCAUCCUACUCAUUAGUAAAGCUACAUGUAGCAAUAAAGGGAUAAGACUAAUCCUAGUUCACUGCUGUCCAAGAAAGACACAUUAGCAUGGUGGUGCUUAGAUAGGUGACACAUUGUUGGUAAUAUUUUGAGGUUCUUGAAACAAAAAAAAUGUCAGGUGGUGGUUGUAGUAUAGUAUGGUUUAGGAGGGAUCUGAGAUUGGAAGACAAUCCAGCACUGGCUGCUGGAGUGAGAUCAGGAGAAGUGAUUGCAGUGUUUAUAUGGGCUCCAGAAGAAGAAGGAUACUAUUGUCCUGGAAGAGUGUCAAGAUGGUGGAUUAAGAAAAGUUUGGAUCAUCUUGAUUCAUCUUUGAAGAAACUUGGCACUUCACUCAUUACAAAGAGAUCUACUGAUAGUGUUUCUUCUCUUCUUCAAGUUGUGAAAUCUACCGGUGCAACUCGGGUUUUUUUCAAUCAUUUAUAUGAUCCAAUAUCACUAGUGAGAGAUAAUCGCGUAAAGGAAACCUUAUCAGCUGAAGGUGUAUCCGUGUGUUCCUUCAAUGCUGAUUUGCUAUAUGAACCAUGGGAAGUUGUCGAUGAUGAAGGUCGCCCAUUCAACACAUUUGCUGAUUUUUGGGAAAGAUGUCUUACCAUGCCUUAUGAUCCUGAAGCUCCACGUCUUCCACCUAAAAGGAUAAUAUCUGGUGAUGCAUCAAGAUGCACUUCAGACAACUUGAUGUUUGAGAGUGAAUUAGAGAAAGGAAGCAAUGCACUUCUUGCUCGAGCGUGGUCUCCUGGUUGGAGCAAUGCUGAUAAGGCACUCACUGCAUUCAUUAAUGGACCAUUGAUUGAGUAUUCCAAGAAUCAUAGUAAAGUUGAUAGUGCAACAACUUCGUUUCUGUCACCACGUUUACAUUUUGGUGAAGUCAGUGUUCGUAAGGUAUUCCAUCACAUCUGUACUAAACAAACUCUCUGGGCUAAUGAAGGAAACAAAGCAGGUGAAGAGAGUGUCAACUUGUUCCUUAAGUCCAUUGGUCUUAGGGAGUUCUCGAGAUACAUGAGCUUUUAUCAUCCUUACACUCAUGAAAGGCCAUUGCUUGGUCACCUAAAGUACUUUCCUUGGUUAGUAGACGAGGGUUAUUUUAAGGCGUGGAGGCAAGGUAGAACAGGUUAUCCUUUGGUUGAUGCAGGUAUGAGAGAGCUUUGGGCCACUGGCUGGCUACAUGAUCGUAUUCGAGUUGUUGUGUCUAGUUUCUCUGUUAAGGUUCUGCAGCUUCCUUGGACAUGGGGAAUGAAGUAUUUUUGGGACACACUGUUAGAUGCAGAUCUUGAGAGUGAUGCUCUUGGUUGGCAAUUUAUUACCGGUACCCUACCUGAUGGUUGUGAGUUCCUUGGAAUUGAUAAUCCACAGUUUGAGGGGUACAAGUUCGAUGCAAAUGGGGAAUACGUUCGGCGAUGGCUUCCUGAACUUGCUAGGCUGCCCACUGAAUGGAUACACCACCCAUGGGAUGCACCAGAAUCUGUACUUCAAGCUGCUGGCAUUGAACUUGGUUCCAAUUAUCCUCUUCCGAUCGUUGAAAUAGAUGCAGCAAAAGAACGACUAGAAGAAGCGUUAUCGCAAAUGUGGCAGCUUGAAGCAUCUGCAAGAGCUGCAAUUGAGAAUGGAAUGGAGGAAGGACAUGGAGACUCCACUGAUGAGUUUGUCCCAAUAGCUUUUCCUCAGGCCAUGCAGAUGGAAAUGGAACCUAAUGUAUCCGUUAGGAACAAUAAUCCUACAAUUACUGCUAUUCGACAUUAUGAAGAUCAGAUUGUUCCUAGCAUGUCAUCUUCCUUUUUUAGGACUGAAGAUGAAGAAAUCUCUGUUGAUAUUAGAAAUUCUGUUGUAGAUAGUAGAGCAGAAGUUCCAAUGAUAUCGAUGUAACUGAAGAACCACGGAGAGACAUACACUUGACCAAGGCAUUGUGAUAAAUAGCAGGAAGUCCAAAGAUACAAGUUGCAUUUAGACAGAACAACAUGAGUACCACAUUUCUCAAAUGACCACUCGACUAAUAGUUAUUGUCUCAGAAAGUCACUUUCUUUGUAAAAAAGAUGGAAUCAAGAAGAAAGGCUGACGUUCUGAGAUAUUAACUAUUAGUUAAGUGACCAUUGAGAAAUCAACCCAGCAUUUGGAUUAUGAAUCAGCACACUUAGCGUGGGAUCAAUCUAUAACUGUGGCUCUCUCACAUUUGUCUAUAACCUCUGAUUGGAUGAGGUGAUAUGUCUAGAUUUUCUUAUUUUUUUCUGCACUUCUUACCCAAUUAGUACUGCAGUGUUUCCAUUGUAUAGUAUGGAUGUUCUCUUUAAAGUCAAUGUAUCGACAAGGGUUGAAGUCUCGUUGAGAUAUAAUAUAAUUAAGUAAUCAAAA